rnacentral:lncRNA from 10 species
AGGAACGGCAGCCUACAAGCCUCGUGUUGAUUGGCUACUGCAGACGAGGAGGGCGGUGCUAGUAGGAGGGCACAGGCCCAGGGUGUCCUCGCAACGGGCGUCCCGGGGAGCUGCUGAAGUCCUCCCCGCUGCAGAGGACCGAGAGGCAGGGCCCGGGAGAGAACAGCCCGGUCGGAGGGGGUGGGCCGUCAGCCGCCCCGGAAAGCUGCGUUUCCCGGUGAUUAAGUGUAGCACCCGCCCCCGGAUCCCUGCAAAUGUAAUCAAACUAAGAAGAGGCCAGCCAUGGUAUCUCAUUCCUGUAAUCCCAGCACUUUGGGAGGCCGAGGUGGGUGGAUUGCCUGAGGUCAGGAGUUCGAGCCAGCCUGGCCAACAUAGUGAAACCCCGUCUCUAAUAAAAAUACAAAAACAAAUUAGCUGGGCAUAGUGGCACGUGCCUGUAAUCCCAGCUACUCAGGAGGCUGAGGCAGGAGAAUCACUUGAACCUGGAAGGCGGAGGUUGCAGUGAGCUGAGCUCAUGCCAUUGCACUCCAAGCCUGGGAAACAAGAGCGAUAUUCCAUCUCAAAAAAAAGAGGCCAUACUGAAUUAGAGUGGACCCUUAACCCACCUUAUAAAAACUGGUGUCUUUAUAUGGAGAGGGAGAUUUGGAGACACAGAGAUACAGGAUACAGAGACACACAGAAGGAAGCCAGCUACAUGAAGAUGGAGGCAGAAAUUAGACGGAUGCAGUUAUAAGCCCAGGAAUGCCAAGGACUGCUGGCAACCUCCGGAAGCUAGGAAGAGGCAAGGAAGGAUUCCCUGCUACAGCAUCAAAGAGAGCGUGGCCCUGCUGAUACCUUGCUUUUGGACUUCCAGCCUCCUGAACUGUGAGAGAAUAAAUUUCUGUUGUUU